AGAAACACUUUAGUUAACAUUGCACUAUAUGGUAUCUGCACUCAGCAAUACCUCCUGCUGAUGUGUUCAAAGGACAGUGCAAUAGAAAUUCAAUAUCUG